GACGAAGGUGGCAAGCGUUAUUCGGAUUUACUGGGCAUAAAGCGCGCGUAGGCGGCUUGGCAAGUCGGGGGGUGAAAGCCCGCAGCUCAACUGCGGAACUGCCUUCGAUACUGCCGGGCUUGAGGGCGGGAGGGGUGAUUGGAACUCCAGGUGUAGCGGUGAAAUGCGUAGAUAUCUGGAGGAACACCGGAGGCGAAGGCGAAUCACUGGACCGCUUCUGACGCUGAGGCGCGAAAGCGUGGGGAGCGAACAGG
rnacentral:rRNA from 1 species